rnacentral:lncRNA from 1 species
UGACCAAUCCCAGGAGGACACAUAGCUCUCACCAGUGCUGGGGUGUAUAUAAGCAGUCCUCCCUGGACCGUAGCAUCAAGCCGGUCCAGGAAUAAAGCUGUUGAGAAGAAUCCGACCGUGUUGCGUUUUUCCUUGCCAGACGAGGUGGGCGCAUGCCAAGAACAUCAACAUGGUCUCCGGGGCAACAUGGACCAUGGACACCAGCGUGGCCUUCAAAGGGAGUGUGCCACCAUGCCCGGUCGAUAUUGUUUUCUUCUUCUGUUCAUAUCUAAAGAUUAACAAAGAAGAAGACAUUUGUCUUUUUUUUUUUUUUUUUCAGAGUUGAGGAGCAAACCCAGCGCCUUGCGCUUGAUAGGGUGAACUGACAGAGAAAAAUGACAACAAAACAAGGUGCUCGGUCCACGAUGUCAUAGCAACCUGAUAUGUGGCAGGAAUCCUCAAACAUCCGCAAGCAUUGCACCCAAUAGGCCUACGGCACCAAAUCCUAAGAUGAGCCUCCAGUCUCCUCCAAACUCAACAAGGACAUAUAUGUUCUAUCAUCCUGAACACGACCCCAUGAGGCAGAAACGCUUGCCAAAUCCAUUGGGAAAUUCUACUUAAAGGUUAAAGCCAAAGCUGCUUUGCAAAGGAAAGCUGUUCUAUGGUCAAGUUCACUGUCGGCCACAAUAACAAAAUGACUUACUAGUACUAAUCAGCUCAAAACCACUGCUGAUUCCAAAAGUUUAAACAUGGCUGAGUUGCAUCUCUUCUUUGCGGAGCUGAAUUCUAGAAGAUUCGCGAUUGUCUCCUUCAGCCACUGAGAGAAUGAGAGGAGACAAAAUCAUGCAACAUUUCCAGCGAGACUGAACCCACAAGUGCUGAGAGCUCCUCGCGUCUGCUUUGACGCUACAUUGACGCUCCAUGGCAUGGAAAAGGGGCUGGCUUCCUAAUGUGGAGAGGAAGUUUAUGCAUUCUAAGGAAGAGAAGCUGCUCUCUCCUUGGACGUCCUGCUCACCUAGGCACCUGGGGUCCAUCUUUCAUCUGGCUCUAAUCAUCUUGGCCAAGGACACGCCUCCUGACUCCCCUCAGCACAGACCCCACAGUUUUCUGGAAGGCUGUCUCCAAAGCACACAGAAGAACAGGAGGCUUCCUCUGCACCCUGAUUUGUGUUAAAGGUUCAAGUCUUGAGAAAAAGCAGCACCUCUCUAACUGUGGCACGCCGCUCUCUCUCUCUCCCUUGCAAGGCAAAGCUGAGCCUCCUUUGAGAAGAAUGCAUGUGAGAUGGCGUGCUGCAAUUGGCCACUGGCUAACAGAGAUGCUGUCACAAAGUAAUGGAGUGACACAGCGACCCACUGGUCUCUUCCCCACCAAGAGUUGAGUGCUACAGUUUGCAAAGAGUGUUUCUGUUAAGCUGAUUGUGUGGCAGAACCUUAGUAGACUUCCAUGAUGACUACGGAUUGACAUUCUUCUGACUGUCCCUUUUCAUUUUUAUUUCGAAGCUAUAACAAGGUGAAAACCGGAUGAGAUAUAUUUUAUUAGUGUGUCCUCAUUUAUAUAGGGACCACAUUUUUCAUGACAAAGUACUAUAAUCAUUGAUCACAAAUAUCCAAACACUGAGAAAGGAGCAAAGUAUUGCAAAGAUUGGGAAGCUUUUAUGAAGUUAAUUUGAAGAAAUUAAUCUCUGGUGAUGUUAUGUCUCCUAUAAAGUACAGCUCCUGGCAACAUGCUGGACCCCGAGACACCAGAAGCGGCUUCUAUGGGCCCUUCCCCAUGACAGCCACCCUCUGUAGAUGUCACAGGUUUAUAGACUGGAAGGGCACAGUGAGCAUCAGCUUUCAAUAUGAGAGAGCUUAUUUAUGCUCUCAUUUCAAAAUGAAACAAAUAUAUAGACAUUCUAGAACUUUACCCCUGGACAUCUCGCAAGGGGUAGUCACCCCAGUUGUAAAAUACCUACAAAUGACUCCUUGCAGUUAACCCUAACAACCCGGUUUUCUUACGCCUCUGAGCUAACC